AUUGAACGCUGGCGGCAUGCCUUACACAUGCAAGUCGAACGGCAGCACGGGAGCAAUCCUGGUGGCGAGUGGCGAACGGGUGAGUCAAGUAUCGGAACGUGCCCAGUCGUGGGGGAUAACGUAGCGAAAGUUAAGCUAAUACCGCAUACGAUCUAUGGAUGAAAGCGGGGGAUCGCAAGACCUCGCGCGAUUGGAGCGGCCGAUAGCAGAUUAGGUAGUUGGUGGGGUAAAGGCUCACCAAGCCGACGAUCUGUAGCUGGUCGGAGAGGACGACCAGCCACACUGGGACUGAGACGCGGCCCAGACGCCUACGGGAGGCAGCAGUGGGGAAUUUUGGACAAUGGGCGAAAGCCUGAUCCAGCCAUGCCGCGUGCAGGAUGAAGGCCUUCGGGUUGUAAACUGCUUUUGUACGGAACGAAAAGGUUUGGCCUAAUAAGCUGAGCUCAUGACGGUACCGUAAGAAUAAGCACCGGCUAACUACGUGCCAGCAGCCGCCGCGG
rnacentral:rRNA from 1 species